rnacentral:rRNA from 1 species
GCGCGCAGGCGGUCCUUUAAGUCUGAUGUGAAAGCCCACGGCUCAACCGUGGAGGGUCAUUGGAAACUGGGGGACUUGAGUACAGGAGAGAAGAGUGGAAUUCCACGUGUAGCGGUGAAAUGCGUAGAGAUGUGGAGGAACACCUGUGGCGAAAGCGGCUCACUGGACCACAACUGACGCUGAGGCGCGAAAGCUAGGGGAGCAAACAGGAUUAGAUACCCUGGUAGUCCUAGCCCUAAACGAUGAUUGCUUGGUGUGUCGGGUACCCAAUCCCGCCGUGCCGAAGCUAACGCGAUAAGCAAUCCGCCUGGGGAGUACGGUCGCAAGACUGAAACUCAAAGGAAUUGACGGGGGCCCGCACAAGCGGUGGAGCAUGUGGUUCAAUUCGACGCAACGCGAAGAACCUUACCUGGGCUCGAAAUGUAGUGGACCGGGGUGGAAACAUCCCUUCCCGCAAGGGUCGCUAUAUAGGUGCUGCAUGGCUGUCGUCAGCUCGUGUCGUGAGAUGUUGGGUUAAGUCCCGCAACGAGCGCAACCCUUAUUGUCAGUU